UAUGACCACAUCACGGUGAAACACCGGUUCCCGUGCAAUCGCCCAAGUUAAUCAACGUCGAUACUGGUCAGUAUCUAGAUGGGUGACCGCUUGGGAAUACCAGGUGAUGUAAG